AUUGAACGCUGGCGGCAUGCCUUACACAUGCAAGUCGAACGGCAGCACGGGUGCUUGCACCUGGUGGCGAGUGGCGAACGGGUGAGUAAUACAUCGGAACGUACCUUAUCGUGGGGGAUAACGCAGCGAAAGCUGUGCUAAUACCGCAUACGCCCUGAGGGGGAAAGCGGGGGAUCGAAAGACCUCGCGCGAUUAGAGCGGCCGAUGCCUGAUUAGCUUGUUGGUGGGGUAAAAGCCCACCAAGGCGACGAUCAGUAGCUGGUCUGAGAGGACGAUCAGCCACCCUGGGACUGAGACACGGCCCAGACUCCUACGGGAGGAAGCAGUGGGGAAUUUUGGACAAUGGGGGCAACCCUGAUCCAGCAAUGCCGCGUGAGUGAAGAAGGCCUUCGGGUUGUAAAGCUCUUUUGUCAGGGAAGAAACACCGGCUCUAACACAGUCCGGGAAUGACGGUACCUGAAGAAUAAGCACCGGCUAACUACGUGCCAGCAGCCGCAGUAA
rnacentral:rRNA from 1 species